rnacentral:lncRNA from 1 species
UGCAAGACAACUUCCCUGAGAAGUUUUUUCUAACACUAAAGUGAAAGAGCUUCCCUUCUCUGAUCUUCUUCAUCUCCUUCUUCCUCUAAGAGAGAGAUAUUCUUCUUUAUUAUUGCUCUUGAGUUAAAGAUUGACUCAUUAGCUCAUUCCAUCUAAUAUGUGAGAAAAAAACCAUAUCUCUAAUGGUUUGGCCAUGAGAGAGAAUGAAGGCCGAGGGGAUUUUGCACAAGGAUGGUGAAUCUUGUUGAGGAUAGUUCAUGUGAUUGAUUUAAAGCACUAACACUUGAGAGCCUCAAUUCUACCAAGUAAAAAUGAUUAUGCGCUUCAAGAGGUAGAGAUCUUAAACUUGCUUUAGGAUGGAUUACUUAUCCCUCUAUAUUUCUUUUCAAAUAGCCAAACAUUAUUGAUCAUGGAUCUGAAGACAGAUCGUUGAAAUUUCUUCCCAAUUGUUUGAUAUUGACCGAUUUAGUCUCAAUAUCCAUUUAGCAUAUACAACAUAUGGUGUCCAAUUAAGGCGUAUUAAGCUUUAAAUUAAAACUAGUAUAGUGUAAAUCACGAUUAUCAGAUCUAAUUAUCAAAAUUAGUUGUUGAUUAGCCAAAAAUCCACAGGAUUUCUACUUCCCAAUCUAUCUCUAUAAAACUCCAUUUUCAAUGAUUCUAAUUGAAAAAGGAAGCCUAAAGAGAGAGGGUUUAAAUGCCUCUAAAAUUACUUCAUUCUAGAGUUUUCGCCUAAAGUUGCAAUGACGCACCACUGUCCAAGUGUUGCACGUUGCUGAAUUAUGCUCCUUUUAUGGUUAUGUGGUUUCCUACAUUAUCUGCAGGUGUUGGUGUAUGUUGGGAUGCUCCAUUUGCUGUGGGCGGUGGCUAUCUGGAGAAAAAGAAAGAAAAAAGGAGGGGAAAAAGAGAGAAGUGGAGAGGAGGGAACACCACCAGAGGGUGUUUGAAUUAUUCCAAAACACAAACCUCC